rnacentral:rRNA from 1 species
UACGUAGGGUGCAAGCGUUGUCCGGAUUUAUUGGGCGUAAAGGGUGCGUAGGCGGCCUGACAAGUCUGAUGUGAAAUCCCUGGGCUCAACCCAGGGCCUGCAUCGGAAACUGUCGGGCUUGAGUAUGGGAGAGGUGAGUGGAAUUUCCGGUGUAGCGGUGAAAUGCGUAGAUAUCGGAAGGAACACCUGUGGCGAAAGCGGCUCACUGGACCAUUACUGACGCUGAGGCACGAAAGCUAGGGGAGCAAACAGG